CGGGCUAGGACAUAUCUCUCUGUCCUUUCUCUACCAGCGCACAGCCUGAGAUAGUAGAAUGGAUCACACUCCACUGGAUCUGCCGUUGGUUAUUGUUCAGUCAAAAUAUCUCAACUUUAUAACUGGAGAAGCAUCAGUGAGUAUACUAUGUUUGGAAUCAGGUCUCAUACUAGUCCUCAGAAGAAACCCUUUUCUUCUCAGGCUUGACACAUCAGACACCUUUAAAAUGAAAGAAAGUGUACUACCUCAAUGAUCUCAUCUAUACCUGUUUCCUCAAUCUUUAGUCAAUCGUACCCCCAAAACAGAAAAAAAAAAACUAAUUCAGUGAAAUUAGAAAUGAGAAAGGUAAAACCCAACAGACACCACUGAAAUCCAGAAGAUUAUUAAAAACUACUUUUAGAAUUUGUAUUCCAGUAAAUUGGAGAAUUCAGAAGAAUUAGAUAGAUUCCUUAGACACAUGUCAAUUGCAAACUUCAACCAAGAUAUAAAAAUCCUGAAUAGUUCACUAAUAGGCAGUGAAAUUGAAGCAGUUAUAAAAUAACAAAACAAUAAAAAAAUGACUAAUUAAGAAAAGGCCUGAACCCAGUGGAUUCACCACUGAUUUUUUUACAAGAGCUUUAGGGAUGAUCCAAAGACAAUACUCCUCAAAAUCUUUAAUGAAAUUGAAAAAGAAGUACUGAAAAAGUCAUUCCUGGAAGCUAACAUUACUCUAAUUACAAAACCAGAAAAAGACCAAC
rnacentral:lncRNA from 1 species